rnacentral:rRNA from 1 species
GAUGAACGCUGGCGGCGUGCUUAAUACAUGCAAGUCGAGCGAACGGACGAGAAGCUUGCUUUUCUGAUGUUAGCGGCGGACGGGUGAGUAACACGUGGAUAACCUACCUAUAAGACUGGUAUCACUUCGGGAAACCGGAGCUAAUACCGGAUGAUAUUUUGAACCGCAGGGUGCAAAAGUGAAAGACGGUCUUGCUGUCACUUAUAGAUGGUUCCGCGCUGCAUUAGCUAGUUGUUAAGGUAACGGCUUACCAAGGCAACGAUGCAUAGCCGACCUGAGAGGCUGAUCGGCCACACUGGAACUGGGACACGGUCCAGAGUCCUACGAGAGGGAGCAGUAGGGUAUCUGACGCAGUGGGCGGAAGCCUGACGGAGCAACGCCGCGUCAGUGAUGAAGGUCUUCGGAUCGUAAAGCUCUGUUAUGAGUGAAGAACAGAUGUGUAAGGAACUGUGGCGAUAGUGACGGUACUUAAUCAGAAAGCAACGGCUAACUACGUG